UACAGAGGGUGCGAGCGUUGUUCGGAAUUACUGGGCGUAAAGCGUGCGUAGACGGUAGCGUAAGUCAGAUGUGAAAGCCCCGGGCUCAACCUGGGAAUUGCAUUUGAGACUGCUCUGCUCGGGUGCGGAAGAGGGAAGCGGAAUUUCCGGUGUAGCGGUGAAAUGCGUAGAUAUCGGAAGGAACACCAGUGGCGAAAGCGGCUUCCUGGUCCGACACCGACGUUCAGGCACGAAAGCGUGGGGAGCAAACAGG
rnacentral:rRNA from 1 species